UACGAAGGGUGCAAGCGUUACUCGGAAUUACUGGGCGUAAAGCGUGCGUAGGUGGUUUGUUAAGUCUGCUGUGAAAGCCCCGGGCUCAACCUGGGAAUGGCAGUGGAUACUGGCAAGCUAGAGUGCGGUAGAGGGUAGUGGAAUUCCCGGUGUAGCGGUGAAAUGCGUAGAUAUCAGGAGGAACACCUGCGGUGUAGACGGCUUACUGGACCAUCACUGACGCUGAGGCACGAAAGCGUGGGUAGCAAACAGG
rnacentral:rRNA from 1 species